rnacentral:rRNA from 1 species
AAGUGGUAGGAGAGCGUUCUAUUUGCGUCGAAGGUAUACCGGUAAGGAGUGCUGGAGCGAAUAGAAGUGAGCAUGCAGGCAUGAGUAGCGAUAAUUAAUGUGAGAAUCAUUAACGCCGUAAACCCAAGGUUUCCUACGCGAUGCUCGUCAUCGUAGGGUUAGUCGGGUCCUAAGUCGAGUCCGAAAGGGGUAGACGAUGGCAAAUUGGUUAAUAUUCCAAUACCAACAUUAGUGUGCGAUGGAAGGACGCUUAGGGCUAAGGGGGCUAGCGGAUGGAAGUGCUAGUCUAAGGUCGUAGGAGGUUAUACAGGCAAAUCCGUAUAACAAUACUCCGAGAACUGAAAGGCUUUUUGAAGUCUUCGGAUGGAUAGAAGAACCCCUGAUGCCGUCGAGCCAAGAAAAGUUUCUAAGUUUAGCUAAUGUUGCCCGUACCGUAAACCGACACAGGUGGGUGGGAUGAGUAUUCUAAGGCGCGUGGAAGAACUCUCUUUAAGGAACUCUGCAAAAUAGCACCGUAUCUUCGGUAUAAGGUGUGGUUCGCUUCGUAUUAGGAUUUACUCCGAAAGCGAAGAAACUUACAACAAAGAGUCCCUCCCGACUGUUUACCAAAAACACAGCACUCUGCUAACUCGUAAGAGGAUGUAUAGGGUGUGACGCCUGCCCGGUGCUCGAAGGUUAAUUGAUGGGGUUAGCAUUAGCGAAGCUCUUGAUCGAAGCCCGAGUAAACGGCGGCCGUAACUAUAACGGUCCUAAGGUAGCGAAAUUCCUUGUCGGUUAAAUACCGACCUGCAUGAAUGGCGUAACGAGAUGGGAGCUGUCUCAAAGAGGGAUCCAGUGAAAUUGUAGUGGAGGUGAAAAUUCCUCCUACCCGCGGCAAGACGGAGAGACCCCGUGGACCUUUACUACAGCUUGACACUGCUAUUUGGAUAAGAAUGUGCAGGAUAGGUGGGAGGCUUUGAGUAUAUGACGCCAGUUGUAUAUGAGCCAUUGUUGAGAUACCACUCUUUCUUAUUUGGGUAGCUAACCAGCUUGAGUUAUCCUCAAGUGGGACAAUGUCUGGUGGGUAGUUUGACUGGGGCGGUCGCCUCCCAAAUAAUAACGGAGGCUUACAAAGGUUGGCUCAGAACGGUUGGAAAUCGUUCGUAGAGUAUAAAGGUAUAAGCCAGCUUAACUGCAAGACAUACAAGUCAAGCAGAGACGAAAGUCGGUCUUAGUGAUCCGGUGGUUCUGUGUGGAAGGGCCAUCGCUCAAAGGAUAAAAGGUACCCCGGGGAUAACAGGCUGAUCUCCCCCAAGAGCUCACAUCGACGGGGAGGUUUGGCACCUCGAUGUCGGCUCAUCGCAUCCUGGGGCUGGAGCAGGUCCCAAGGGUAUGGCUGUUCGCCAUUUAAAGCGGUACGCGAGCUGGGUUCAGAACGUCGUGAGACAGUUCGGUCCCUAUCUGCCGUGGGCGUAAGAAGAUUGAAGAGAUUUGACCCUAGUACGAGAGGACCGGGUUGAACAAACCACUGGUGUAGCUGUUGUUCUGCCAAGAGCAUCGCAGCGUAGCUAAGUUUGGAAAGGAUAAACGCUGAAAGCAUCUAAGCGUGAAGCCAACUCUAAGAUGAAUCUUCUCUAAGCUCUCUAGAAGACUACUAGUUUGAUAGGCUGGGUGUGUAAUGGAUGAAAGUCCUUUAGCUGACCAGUACUAAUAGAGCGUUUGGCUUAUCUUUAAUAAAGCAU